CAAAAAAAACAAAUCAUAAAACAUAAUACGCACCAUCACACACGCACACAUUGGAUGCCGGCACUUGUCAACCCUAGGCCGGUAGUUGGCAUAAACGCACACACUAUCACAGAUUGAAGAAAGCUCCAAUUGCUUAAGAGUUUCCAUAAAUGCACACACUAGCACAGAUUGAAGAGAGCUCUGAUUGCUUUACUACUAAUCAAUUGCUACUGCUCUGAAAGAAAGCUUCGAUUGCUUUACUAAUGCUCAAUUGCUACUGCUCCAAAAGAAAAAAAGCUUCGAUUCCUACUAUUUACUACUCAAUUGCUAUUGGCAUCCCAGAAAUGUUAAGGACUGAAGAUUUUCCCAGAAAUUAGUGCGGAAUUGGGUUUUCUCCGGUUGACUUCCUAAGGUACACAUGGAGGCUGAAAGAAAGGACAUGCAAAUGCCAGGGGACAUAGCCCAGUUGCGAAUUCCAUUUCAUGAAAAAAUUACGUACGGAGUUGGGAGUAAGAACAAAUUGGCAGUGCUGAUGAGGCUUGUACCUUUGCAAAUUUCUCUGUGGCGCUAACUGCUCUAGUUCAACAGUGACAAACCACCCACAAAAGGAGUCCUUGCUGUGAA